CACGUGCUUUCUCGUUGGACCAAACAAGCUUGAAGGGAAAAAUAAGAAUCUUACGUGAUCACGUAAAAUGGUAGUGACGGUUACGUACAAGAUCUACGUCCAUGGUGCAGUCUAAACCUCUAAACAGUACCUAUACAGAAGUCUAGCUGUGUUUAGACGCUUAAUUCGUUGUCAGCAAAAACAGCAAAAAGAAGAUAAUGAGCCGUGAUAAGAAAUAUGGGGCUAAAAGUUGCAUCUAACGUGCUAACGUUUGCUUUCCAACGUAAAAAGAAAAAUAAGAGAAAAGAUGAACUGUGCAACAAGUUCAGCUUUAAAAAUUUUAAUGACGCGUUGGCAGAAGACAUACGCUUCUGUAUGUCCCCCAGGUAGCAGGAUAUUGACAUCUAAAUAAAUGUCUUAAUGACGUAUUAUUACUGGCCGUAUUGAUCUCUGACAAGAGGCAGGUGCCAUUUAUCGAAAGAAGAAGAAUGACGUAUUAUUGACAUUAGAGAUCAUUGAAACGGACGUAAUACGUCAUUUGAUGUCACUCCGUUGGGUUAUAGAGAUUUACCGAUCCGUCGAAGCAACAUCCCAAGGAGAA